GAUGAACGCUAGCGGCAGGCCUAACACAUGCAAGUCGAGGGGCAGCACAGAAACAGCAAUGUUUUGGUGGCGACCGGCGGACGGGUGCGUAACGCGUAUGCAACCUACCUUUAACAGGGGGAUAACGGAGAGAAAUUUCCACUAAUACCCCAUAACAUCGAUCAAGGCGUCUUGAUUGGUUGAAAACUCCGGUGGUUAAAGAUGGGCAUGCGUUGUGUUAGGUAGUUGGUGAGGUAAUGGCUCACCAAGCCUACGAUACAUAGGGGGACUGAGAGGUUAGCCCCCCUGACUAGAACGAGGGCACGGACCCGAGUCCUACGGGAGGCAGCAGUGAGGAAGAUUGGUCAAGGGGGGCAACCCUGAGCCAGCCAUGCCGCGUGCAGGAAGACGGCUCUAUGAGUUGUAAACUGCUUUUAAACAGGGAUAAAGCACAGUAUGUAUACUGUGUUGAAGGUACUGUAAGAAUAAGGAUCGGCUAGCUCCGUGCCAGCCGCCGCCGUAA
rnacentral:rRNA from 1 species